GUGGUGAGGCAUCAUGCCCAUGGCAUGGGGCUCCUGCAUUCCUUCUUGGGAAUUCCUUUUCCACGAGACGCUGUCCUGAAAUGCAGUAGCUCAAAUUGUGUCUCAGAAGACGGUCCCUCAAGACUGCACACUUGGCACCAAGUGGGGCAGGUCAGAAAUGUACACUCUUUUAUUAACCUAUUUCCUCUUCUAUUUCCCUUUCUCCUCAUUUCCUGAGAUAAGCUUUGCCUCAGGCUCUCUUUACUAGUGGAUUCACG
rnacentral:lncRNA from 1 species